rnacentral:rRNA from 1 species
GACGAACGCUGGCGGCGUGCCUAACACAUGCAAGUCGAACGGAAAGGCCUCUUUCGGGGGGUACUCGCGUGGCGAACGGGCGAGUAACACGUGAGUAACCUGCCCUUGUCUUUGGGAUAACUUCAGGCAACUGGGGCUAAUACCGGAUAGGAGCUCCUGCUGCAUGGUGGGGGUUGGAAAGUUUCGGCGGUUGGGGAUGGACUCGCGGCGUAUCAGCUUGUUGGUGGGGUAGUGGCUUACCAAGGCCUUGACGGGUAGCCGGCCAGAGAGGGUGACCGGCGACAUUGGGACUGAGAGACGGCACAGACUCCUACGGGAGGCAGCAGUGGGGAAUAUUGCACGAUGGGUGCAAGCCUGAUGCAGCAGCGCCGUGUGCGGGAUGACGGCCUUCGGGUUGUAAACCGCUUUCGCUCAUGACGAAGCUUUGUGUGACGGUAGUGGGUAAAGAAGCACCGGCUAACUACGUG